UGGGGAAUAUAGGACAAUGGGCGAAAGCCUGAUCCAGCCAUGCCGCGUGUGUGAAGAAGGUCUUCGGAUUGUAAAGCACUUUAAGUUGGGAGGAAGGGCUGUCGGCUAAUACCUUGCAGUUUUGACGUUACCAACAGAAUAAGCACCGGCUAACUUCGUGCCAGCAGCCGCGGUAAUACGAAGGGUGCAAGCGUUAAUCGGAAUUACUGGGCGUAAAGCGCGCGUAGGUGGUUCAGCAAGUUGGAUGUGAAAGCCCCGGGCUCAACCUGGGAACUGCAUCCAAAACUACUGAGCUAGAGUACGGUAGAGGGUGGUGGAAUUUCCUGUGUAGCGGUGAAAUGCGUAGAUAUAGGAAGGAACACCAGUGGCGAAGGCGACCACCUGGACUGAUACUGACACUGAGGUGCGAAAGCGUGGGGAGCAAACAG
rnacentral:rRNA from 1 species